rnacentral:rRNA from 1 species
GAAUGCUGACAUAAGUAACGAUAAAGCGGGUGAAAAGCCCGCUCGCCGGAAGACCAAGGGUUCCUGUCCAACGUUAAUCGGGGCAGGGUGAGUCGACCCCUAAGGCGAGGCCGAAAGGCGUAGUCGAUGGGAAACAGGUUAAUAUUCCUGUACUUGGUGUUACUGCGAAGGGGGGACGGAGAAGGCUAUGUUGGCCGGGCGACGGUUGUCCCGGUUUAAGCGUGUAGGCUGGUUUUCCAGGCAAAUCCGGAAAAUCAAGGCUGAGGCGUGAUGACGAGGCACUACGGUGCUGAAGCAACAAAUGCCCUGCUUCCAGGAAAAGCCUCUAAGCAUCAGGUAACAUCAAAUCGUACCCCAAACCGACACAGGUGGUCAGGUAGAGAAUACCAAGGCGCUUGAGAGAACUCGGGUGAAGGAACUAGGCAAAAUGGUGCCGUAACUUCGGGAGAAGGCACGCUGAUAUGUAGGUGAAGCGACUUGCUCGUGGAGCUGAAAUCAGUCGAAGAUACCAGCUGGCUGCAACUGUUUAUUAAAAACACAGCACUGUGCAAACACGAAAGUGGACGUAUACGGUGUGACGCCUGCCCGGUGCCGGAAGGUUAAUUGAUGGGGUUAGCGGUAACGCGAAGCUCUUGAUCGAAGCCCCGGUAAACGGCGGCCGUAACUAUAACGGUCCUAAGGUAGCGAAAUUCCUUGUCGGGUAAGUUCCGACCUGCACGAAUGGCGUAAUGAUGGCCAGGCUGUCUCCACCCGAGACUCAGUGAAAUUGAACUCGCUGUGAAGAUGCAGUGUACCCGCGGCAAGACGGAAAGACCCCGUGAACCUUUACUAUAGCUUGACACUGAACAUUGAGCCUUGAUGUGUAGGAUAGGUGGGAGGCUUUGAAGUGUGGACGCCAGUCUGCAUGGAGCCGACCUUGAAAUACCACCCUUUAAUGUUUGAUGUUCUAACGUUGGCCCCUGAUCGGGGUUGCGGACAGUGUCUGGUGGGUAGUUUGACUGGGGCGGUCUCCUCCUAAAGAGUAACGGAGGAGCACGAAGGUUGGCUAAUCCUGGUCGGACAUCAGGAGGUUAGUGCAAUGGCAUAAGCCAGCUUGACUGCGAGCGUGACGGCGCGAGCAGGUGCGAAAGCAGGUCAUAGUGAUCCGGUGGUUCUGAAUGGAAGGGCCAUCGCUCAACGGAUAAAAGGUACUCCGGGGAUAACAGGCUGAUACCGCCCAAGAGUUCAUAUCGACGGCGGUGUUUGGCACCUCGAUGUCGGCUCAUCACAUCCUGGGGCUGAAGUAGGUCCCAAGGGUAUGGCUGUUCGCCAUUUAAAGUGGUACGCGAGCUGGGUUUAGAACGUCGUGAGACAGUUCGGUCCCUAUCUGCCGUGGGCGCUGGAGAACUGAGGGGGGCUGCUCCUAGUACGAGAGGACCGGAGUGGACGCAUCACUGGUGUUCGGGUUGUCAUGCCAAUGGCACUGCCCGGUAGCUAAAUGCGGAAGAGAUAAGUGCUGAAAGCAUCUAAGCACGAAACUUGCCCCG